rnacentral:sRNA from 1 species
GAGGCUUUGCGGUGGUCGCUUGGCUUGGCGUGGCAGUGAUCGCUUGGCUUGGCAUUUCUGGCUUAGCGGUCCUCCUUUCGCAGAUUGGAAACCGCGGGCUAUCCUGCUGGGAGGUUGUGGCUGAGGCAGUAGCUCGCUACUGAUGGCCUCCUGGGGUGGAGAAAAGCGGGGAGGGGCUAAGGGGUCUCCGAAGCCGGCAGUCUCCGCCACGAGGAAGACCCGUAGCGUCAGAAGCCAGGAGGACCAGUGGUACUUGGGCUACCCGGGGGACCAGUGGUCCUCGGGCUUCUCCUACAGCUGGUGGAAAAACAGCGUCGGCAGCAAGAGCAAACACGGUGAGGGCGCCUUAGACCAGCCCCAGCACGACGUCCGCCUGGAAGAUCUUUGCGAGCUCCACAGAGCUGCCCGGUUGGGCGACGUCCCUGGGGUGGAGCACGUCUUGGUUCCUGGAGACACUGGCGUGGACAAGAGGGAUAGGAAGAAGAGCAUUCAGCAACUAGUUCCUGAAUAUAAGGAAAAACAGACACCUGAAAGUCUUCCUCAAAAUAACAAUCCAGAUUGGCAUCCUACUAAUUUGACCCUUAGUGAUGAGACUUGUCAGAGAUCCAAGAAUCUGAAAGUUGAUGAUAAAUGUCCAUCUGUAUCACCAUCAAUGCCUGAAAAUCAGUCAGCAACCAAAGAACUGGGACAGAUGAACUUAACAGAACGAGAAAAGAUGGACACUGGAGUUGUACUUCUCUCAGGGAAUGAUACUCUCCAUGACCUGUGCCAAUCACAGCUACCAGAAAACAAAGAGAGCAAAGAAGCAGAACAAGACUUGGAGCUGACAUCAGAGGAAGAGCAAGAAAGACUUAAAGAAUGCGAAAAUAAGCAGCCACAGGACAAAGCUAUUUUUAAAACAUGUAGCCCAACAGAGAAGACAC